GAAUUCACUAGUGAUUAGACUUUGAUUAUGGCUCAGGAUGAACGCUGGCGGCGUGCCUAACACAUGCAAGUCGAACGAAGCGCCCGCGCGGAUUCCCUCGGGAUGAAGCGCGGAUGACUGAGUGGCGGACGGGUGAGUCACGCGUGGGCAACCUGCCCCGUGCCGGGGGACAACAGCCGGAAACGGCUGCUAAUACCGCAUGAUCCGGGAGGGCCGCAUGGCCCUGCCGGGAAAGCUCCGGCGGCACGGGAUGGGCCCGCGUCUGAUUAGUUUGUUGGCGGGGUAACGGCCCACCAAGACUGCGAUCAGCAGCCGGCCUGAGAGGGCGGCCGGCCACAUUGGGACUGAGACACGGCCCAGACUCCUGCGGGAGGCAGCAGUGGGGAAUAUUGCACAAUGGGGGAAACCCUGAUGCAGCGACGCCGCGUGGGCGACGAAGCGCUCCGGCGCGUAAAGCCCUGUCAGCAGGGAAGAGAAAAGACAGUACCUGACCAAGAAGCCCCGGCUAACUACGUGCCAGCAGCCGCGGUAAUACGUAGGGGGCAAGCGUUAUCCGGAUUCACUGGGCGUAAAGGGAGCGCAGGCGGCACGGCAAGUCUGGUGUGAAAGCCCGGGGCCCAACCCCGGGACUGCAUUGGAAACUGCCGGGCUGGAGUGCCGGAGAGGUAAGCGGAAUUCCUGGCGUAGCGGUGAAAUGCGCAGAUAUCAGGAAGAACACCGGUGGCGUAGGCGGCUUACUGGACGGCAACUGACGCUGAGGCUCGAAAGCGUGGGGAGCAAACAGGAUUAGAUAACCUGGUAAUUCCCGCCGUUAACGAAGAAUACAAGUGGGCGGCGGGCAG
rnacentral:rRNA from 1 species